rnacentral:rRNA from 1 species
UACGAAGGGGGCUAGCGUUGUUCGGAAUCACUGGGCGUAAAGGGCUCGUAGGCGGUUUGUCACGUCGGGAGUGAAAACUCAGGGCUCAACCCUGAGCGUGCUUCCGAUACGGGCAGACUAGAGGUAUGCAGGGGAGAACGGAAUUCCUGGUGUAGCGGUGGAAUGCGCAGAUAUCAGGAGGAACACCGGUGGCGAAGGCGGGUCUCUGGGCCGUAACUGACGCUGAGGAGCGAAAGCAUGGGGAGCGAACAGG